CUGCGAUGAACCCGAUACUCAUGAUGAGGACGGUGUUGGGAGACAUCUUGGCGCCAGUGGCAUCGUCGGUGUAGAACUGGAGCACCGAACUAGCACCUGCAGCAUUUCCACCACCACCAGCAGGUGUGGUCCUUCGCCUGCGCAAGUUUGCCGUUGCCGCUGCACUCCCCCUCGGAGGUGCUACUCCAUUUGCAACCAUCUUGAUUUCUGUCUGAUUGUCGUCGCCGCCGCCGGUAGAAGAGG
rnacentral:misc_RNA from 1 species